GAAGCCGGUGCUUGCACCGGUGGACAGUGGCGAAUGGGUGUGUAACACGUAGGUGACCUGCCCUCAAGCGGGGGAUAACGAUUCGAAAGGAUCGCUAAUACCGCAUACGCACCUCCGGGCUAGAGACCGGAGGCGGAAACUUACGGGGUUGAGGGAGGGAGCUGCGGCCCAUCAGGUAGUUGGUGAGGUAGAGGCUCACCAAGCCGAAGACGGGUAGGGGGCCUGAGAGGGUGGUCCCCCACACUGGGUCUGACAAACGGCGAAGACUCCUACGGGUAUUUUCCUCAGUGGGGAUUUCUAGAAAUCUCNUACAUAUAUCAG
rnacentral:sRNA from 1 species